rnacentral:lncRNA from 1 species
AAUUUGAAAAAAAAAAUUGAGUCUGAUUAAUUCAAUCAUAUCAUUUCCAACUCUAAAGGGAUAAAAUGUUCAAAACACUUCAAACUUGUGUGAUAGUGAAAAAGAAAUCUGUCAUGUUUAUUUUAAUUUUGUAUAUAUUAUAAAAUAAUUGUUGCUGUAUAUUUUAUUUUUCAUCACAUUUUAUAAUGCAAAUAGGAUAGACCUGACAAAAUGAUGACCAAUUUGGUCAAAACAAUUAUUAAGCACUGUAUAUUUAUUUUAUUUUCACAAUAAAUACAAGUACAUGACAGGUUAAAAUUAGAAUAGGGUGUAUAUUUCGUCGUUAUGAUUGUUUUUCAGAAGCUGUUUUUUUCUCUUUCAGUUUUUGGGUAAUAUAGGCAAAUCUUAGGUGAAAUUCUAAUUAAUCUUGAUUGUUAUAAAAACAAAUUAUUUAUCAAAACAUCUAUUAAUAUUUGCAAGAGGGAAUAGAAGGAAUAGUAUUUUUAAAAAGUGGGAAUAGGAGGAAGAAACCACUUAAAAAAAACAUUAUCAUUUGAGUAGCUUGGGUUAAAAAAAUUAUCACACAGAAAGAUCAAAGCAAAAUUUAAGAAAAUGGUGAUAAAAAAGUUUUGUGAAGUAAGCAUUUCAACAUUUGUGUGUAAAUUUCACUACAAACCAUUAAAGUCUGAAAUGGCCUAUAUCUGUACUCGACUGUACUGAUUUUUACUCGACCAGUCUGAAUUGGUCUGACUUUUACUUGACAUUACUCGACCCCAGUCUGAACUAUACUUGACUGUACUGAAUCGUACUUGACCCUUAUCUUUGCCGUUGAAAAUAGUCUGAACUAUUACUCGACCAGUCUGAAACAGUCUUAACCCAUUCUCGACAUGUACUCGACCUAAUUUUCGAGUCUAAACCAUACUUAACCAAAGGUCUGAACAGUACUCGACCAGUCUGAACCAUACUAGACCAAAAAAAAAACUCUACUUUUUUAACUAUUAAAAUAAAUUUCUUUUUAACUGACAUAUAUAACAACAGCCAACAAAAUUUAUAUUUUUGUUAACUUUAUAUUAGAAAUAUAUCUAUGAUUAUAUUUAGGAUGAAAAAAAAUAUAUUAUAUAUAACUUAUAUCAAAAAGGGAUAAAAUUAAAUAAAAAAAUUAAUUUGUUUUUCUGAUUAGUGGUGAAAUAUAAAGAAUAACCUCUGCUUGGGGGCAAACUCAUAAAUAAGAUCACACCUGGUCAGAGGUAUUAAAUUCUAAAUAACAUUGAUUCAAAAUUGCAACAUCCUGUUUAAGUUAAAUAACAAGGCCUUUCGAAUAUACAUGUAUGUACUAGACAAGUAAUACAAGAAUUUAAGAAAAUAGGGCUUUCUUUUUACCUGUAAAACACACAUGUACUGAGGUAAUUAGAACAUAUUAAAGUGCUUUAUGUAUGCCAUGUUAAUUUGACAAAAAAAUUACUUUAAUUAAUUGAAAUAAAUGUUUACUGUUACUUUGGAAUACAUUUCCAUUUUUAAAAAGGUUAUCAAGGAUUGCUAUGGAAAUUCUCUUAUCAUGAUUACAUUAAAUUCUUGUUUAAUAAAACAAAAUAAUUAAGCUCUCAUUUUUUAAAAUUUAUUAAGUUGUUUUAUACACUAUUUUAUAUACACGAUUUAUAUAUUAAUAAAAAAAAA